rnacentral:rRNA from 1 species
GUGAAGCGGCAAAAGCUCAAAUUUGAAAUCUGGCUCCUUUGGGGCCCGAGUUGUAAUUUGCAGAGGAUGCUUCGGGCGUGGCCGCGGUCUAAGUCCCCUGGAACGGGGCGUCGCAGAGGGUGAGAAUCCCGUCUUCGGCCGGCCGGCUUCGCCCAUGUGAAGCUCCUUCGACGAGUCGAGUUGUUUGGGAAUGCAGCUCUAAAUGGGUGGUAAAUUUCAUCUAAAGCUAAAUAUUGGUCGGAGACCGAUAGCGCACAAGUAGAGUGAUCGAAAGAUGAAAAGCACUUUGAAAAGAGAGUUAAACAGCAUGUGAAAUUGUUGAAAGGGAAGCGCUUGCGACCAGAGUCGGCCGUGGGGGUUCAGCGGGCAUUCGUUGCCCGUGCACUCCCCCACGGGCGGGCCAGCGUCGGUUUCGACGGCCGGUCAAAGGCCCCCGGAAUGUGUCGCCUCUCGGGGCGUCUUAUAGCCGGGGGUGCAAUGCGGCCAGUCGGGACCGAGGAACGCGCUUCGGCACGGACGCUGGCUUAAUGGUCGUAAGCGACCCGUCUUGAAACACGGACCAAGGAGUCUAACAUCCACGCGAGUGUUCGGGUGUCAAACCCGUCCGCGCAGUGAAAGCGAACGGAGGUGGGAACCCUUAAGGGUGCACCAUCGACCGAUCCUGAAGUCUUCGGAUGGAUUUGAGUAAGAGCGUGGCUGUUGGGACCCGAAAGAUGGUGAACUAUGCCUGAAUAGGGUGAAGCCAGAGGAAACUCUGGUGGAGGCUCGCAGCGGUUCUGACGUGCAAAUCGAUCGUCGAAUUU